AUUUGUCAGGUCUGACUCUGAGCAGGUGUUUCUCAACUCAACAGGUUUUGAGUUGUAAACAGAAACUCCCAUUUCCUGGAACACAACAAAUGGCAUUUCGUCCAAACUAUGAAUGUCUUCAGGUGCUCUCUGGAAAUUAAGUAAAGUUGAACUCUUAACUCUGGAAAUAUAAACUAAUAUUCAAAGUUGACUAGAAAUGCUUAUAUUUGUCCUCCUGCUGUGUCAUUUCACUGUAUGUGGACACUGUGCUUGUGUGAGAAAAACCCUUCAAAUACCAGCAGAUCAAGACAGUAAAGUGUUUGUUGUGGACCAGGAGGCCAACACAUUUUUAAUAUAGG